CUUGUGAGUGCAUGUCAGCUGUUAACAAGUGGUUUCUAGUUCAUUCUUGGCUUUGCUAUAUCUAUCUAGUGCCUGUUUUGUGCUUUCUUUCUGUUUUCUUUCUCUCCCCUCUCACUCCUGGCCUCUCCCUGCUCCUUCCCACGCCGUGUGGAUGUCGGUCACGUGUGGAAGGUGGGCUGAGGUGCCUCAUCCUUUGCUUUCUUUCUUUCCUUUCCGCGCCCUGGCCACGCUCCGGGUGUGCUGUCCUCUGCUUUUUCUCAGAGCUUCUCUCCAAUCUGCAUGUCGAGUUCUGUGUUGCUGUGGCUUCUGGGAAAGAGCUGGGGCCACUAGCUAGGCGGCUGUGGUGGCCUGUUGGUAGGUAUCCAGCUGGGAUGAGCACACAGAAUUGGAGGCAUCUUGCUUUAAAACAAGGAAACUGCCUUCUGG
rnacentral:lncRNA from 1 species